rfam:Aedes albopictus isolate Foshan contig212096, whole genome shotgun sequence.
AAAACGGCCUUUGUCAAGGCCACCACAUUUUCAUGAGAGAGUUGU